AACGAACGCUGGCGGCAUGGAUUAGGCAUGCAAGUCGAACGAAUGUAGCAAUACGUUAGUGGCGAAAGGGUGAGGAACACGUGAGUAACUUGCCCCCAAGUUCGGAAUAACUUUGGGAAACUGAAGAUAAUACCGGAUGUGGUUGUUUUUUCGCAUGGAGAAACAACUAAAGGUUUACCGCUUGGGGAUAGGCUCGCGUCCCAUUAGCUAGUUGGUGAGGUAACGGCUCACCAAGGCAACGAUGGGUAGCUGGUCUGAGAGGAUGGUCAGCCACACUGGGACUGAGACACUGCCCAGACUCCUACGGGAGGCUGCAGUCGAGAAUCUUCCGCAAUGCGCGAAAGCGUGACGGAGCAAUGCCGCGUGUCGGAUGAAGGUCUUCGGAUUGUAAACGACUGUCGACCGGGACGAAAUAAUGACGGUACCGGUAGAGGAAGCCACGGCUAACUACGUG
rnacentral:rRNA from 1 species